GAUGAAGAACGUAGCGAAAUGCGAUAAGUAAUGUGAAUUGCAGAAUUCAGUGAAUCAUCGAAUCUUUGAACGCACCUUGCACCCUUUGGCAUUCCGAAGGGUAUGCUCGUUUGAGUGUCAUUGUACUCUCACACUUCCAAUCUUUGGAUUGGGAGCAGUGGACUUGGGUGUUGCUGCUUACUGUGGCUCACCUCAAAUCGAUUCGUGCACCUCUUGGUUGGACAUAGUACGGCGUGAUAAGUGUCUUCGCCGGCACCUCAGUAGAAGGUGGCUGAUCAGGAGCUCUGUGCUUCAAACCGUCCUCGGACAACAACUGACAACUUGACCUCAAAUCGAGUAGGACUACCCGCUGAACUUAAGCAUAUCAAUAAGCGGAGGA
rnacentral:misc_RNA from 1 species